GACUUCUGGUUUAAUGCACCUGGCCCGCGGCUCUUUAGGCUUGUGAGUGCCGGCGCGCGUUUACCAUCCUUCUGGGGAACGGGUCUAAUCAUUUACUUUGAAAAAAUUAGAGUGUUUAAAGCAGGCUAUUGCUAUGAAUACAUUAGCAUGGAAUAAUAAUCUAGGACUUCGGUUCUAUUUUGUUGGUUUCUAGAACUGAAGUAAUGAUUGAUAGGGAUAGUUGGGGGUGCUAGUAUUGGCCGGUCAGAGGUGAAAUUCUUGGAUUUGGUCAAGACUAACUUAUGCGAAAGCAUU
rnacentral:rRNA from 1 species